rnacentral:rRNA from 1 species
CAGUCGAGCGGCAGCGGGGGUGCUUGCACCUGCCGGCGAGCGGCGAACGGGUGAGUAAUACAUCGGAACGUACCCAUGUGGUGGGGGAUAACUACUCGAAAGAGUAGCUAAUACCGCAUACGCCCUGAGGGGGAAAGCGGGGGAUUCUUCGGAACCUCGCGCCAUUGGAGCGGCCGAUGUCGGAUUAGCUAGUAGGUGGGGUAAAGGCUCACCUAGGCGACGAUCCGUAGCUGGUCUGAGAGGAUGAUCAGCCACACUGGGACUGAGACACGGCCCAGACUCCUACGGGAGGCAGCAGUGGGGAAUUUUGGACAAUGGGCGCAAGCCUGAUCCAGCCAUGCCGCGUGAGUGAAGAAGGCCUUCGGGUUGUAAAGCUCUUUCAGUCGGGAAGAAAAGGCGCGCUCUAACAUAGCGCGCUCAUGACGGUACCGACAGAAGAAGCACCGGCUAACUACGUGCCAGCAGCCGCGGUAAUACGUAGGGUGCGAGCGUUAAUCGGAAUUACUGGGCGUAAAGCGUGCGCAGGCGGUUGUGUAAGACAGGUGUGAAAUCCCCGGGCUUAACCUGGGAACUGCGCUUGUGACUGCACGGCUAGAGUACGGCAGAGGGGGGUGGAAUUCCACGUGUAGCAGUGAAAUGCGU